UAUUCAUAAAAAAUCCUUAAAUGAGGAAUGAUCAGCUUAUUAGCUAAUCCGCUGUUUAGGCUUAAUAAGCCGUUGAUAAGAACCAUGAUUUAUAAACGUUUAUUAGGGGCUUCUUAACUAAUAAGCAGAUUAGACGCGUUAUGUUGGCAUCUUGGCGCAUCAUAGACUAAAAUAUGGCUGAACAUUAAAUUAAAAAAAAAGUUUGACAGCAGCACUAGCGGCCAAUCGUAAUAUCAUGAAGAAGUUGAUUUACUAUUUUGACUAAUUUUCGGAAUUAUCUCUUAUUAAAAUAGCUUCUGUGCCACAAAAAUAAUUAAAGAUUGCUGCAUGGCCGGAAAUUUUAUAAAACUUGUUUCAAUAUUAUGUGGAAUGGAGUCGAAAGAAGUGGGGUUCUUUCAAACUAACCGAGAAGUGCAUAAUUAGCGAAGAGAAGAAGUCGAAGCCAGAUACCGUACCAGACCCCACUCGCCUCCGCAAGAAGAACCAUUUGAAUAAUGGUUCAUGAGUUCACACUAAUUUAUUCUGGUUGCGGCAGAAAUUCACAACGGGUCAACAAAACGAAGUCCAUUCAGACUCACUAAAUCAGAUCCUGAAAGUACCAUCAUUAGCCACUGUUAUUGUUGAAUAACUCCAGGCUUUGGAAGAAAAGCUGUGGCCUGUGAACAGCUGUGAAUAUUGGUCAGAGAAGUGUAACUGACUCCGUACACUGCAAGUCCCAGCAGGAAAUCAGCAAGAAACCUAAAAGAAAAAAAACAUCAAAAUGAAAACCUAGCUUGAUUUAGGUUGAAGUAAUAAAAUUGUUCUAAUUUAA